UACGAAGGAUUCGAGCGUUAUCCGGAUUUAUUGGGUUUAAAGGGUGCGUAGGUGGACUAAUAAGUCAGUGGUGAAAGCCCGCAGCUUAACUGCGGAACUGCCAUUGAUACUGUUAGUCUUGAGUACAGUUGAGGUGGGCGGAAUGUGUCAUGUAGCGGUGAAAUGCUUAGAUAUGACACAGAACACCGAUUGCGAAGGCAGCUCACUAAGCUGUAACUGACACUGAGGCACGAAAGUGCGGGGAUCAAACAGG
rnacentral:rRNA from 1 species